UACGGAGGGGGAUAGCGUUGUUCGGAAUCACUGGGCGUAAAGCGCACGUAGGCGGUGUAUCAAGUCAGAGGUGAAAGGCCAGGGCUCAACCUGGGAACUGCCUUUGAGACUGGUACGCUUGAGUCCGGGAGAGGGUAGUGGAAUUCCCAGUGUAGAGGUGAAAUUCGUAGAUAUUGGGAAGAACACCGGUGGCGAAGGCGGCUACCUGGCCCAGUUAUUGACGCUGAGGUGCGAAAGUGUGGGGAGCGAACAUG
rnacentral:misc_RNA from 1 species